rnacentral:rRNA from 1 species
AUUGAACGCUGGCGGCAGGCCUAACACAUGCAAGUCGAGCGGAUGAAGGGAGCUUGCUCCUGGAUUCAGCGGCGGACGGGUGAGUAAUGCCUAGGAAUCUGCCUGGGAGUGGGGGAUAACGUCCGGAAACGGGCGCUAAUACCGCAUACGUCCUGAGGGAGUACGUGGGGGAUCUUCGGACCUGACGCUAUCAGAUGAGCCUAGGUCGGAUUAGCUAGUUGGUGGGGUAAAGGCCUACCCAGGCGAGGAUCCGUAACUGUUCUGAGAAGAUGAUCAGGCACACUGGAACUGAGACACGAUCCAGACUCCUACGGGAGGCACCACUGGGAAAUAUUGGACAAUGGGCGAAAGCCUGAUCCAGCCAUGCCGCGUGUGUGAACAAGGUCUUCGCAUUUUAAAACACUUUAAGUUGGGAGGAAGGGCAGUAAGUUAAUACCUUGCUGUUUUGACGUUACCAACAGAAUAAGCACCGGCUAACUUCGUG